rnacentral:rRNA from 1 species
UACGGAGGGUGCGAGCGUUGUCCGGAAUCACUGGGCGUAAAGGGCGCGUAGGCGGCUCGGUAAGUAGGGGGUGAAAUCCUGCGGCUUAACCGCAGGGCUGCCUUCUAAACUGUCGAGCUCGAGCACGGUAGAGGCAGAUGGAAUUCCCGGUGUAGCGGUGGAAUGCGUAGAGAUCGGGAGGAACAUCAGUUGCGAAGGCGGCUCUCUGGACCAGCACUGACACUGAGGCACGAAAGCGUGGGGAGCAAACAGG